rnacentral:rRNA from 1 species
UACGUAGGGGGCUAGCGUUGUCCGGAAUCAUUGGGCGUAAAGAGCUCGUAGGCGGUCUGUCGCGUCGGAUGUGAAAAUCCAGGGCUCAACCCUGGACCUGCAUUCGAUACGGGCAGACUAGAGUUCGGUAGGGGAGACUGGAAUUCCUGGUGUAGCGGUGAAAUGCGCAGAUAUCAGGAGGAACACCGGUGGCGAAGGCGGGUCUCUGGGCCGAAACUGACGCUGAGGAGCGAAAGCGUGGGGAGCAAACAGG